rnacentral:rRNA from 1 species
AUGGCGCCCAAGGCGGAGAAGAAGCCGGUGGCUACGGAGAAGUCCCCGGCGGGGAAGAAGCCCAAGGCUGAGAAGCGGCCGCCGGCGUCCAAGGAGGGCGGCGACAAGAAGGGGAAGAAGAAGGCCAAGAAGAGCGUGGAGACGUACAAGAUCUACAUCUUCAAGGUGCUGAAGCAGGUGCACCCGGACAUUGGCAUCUCCUCCAAGGCCAUGUCCAUCAUGAACUCCUUCAUCAACGACAUCUUCGAGAAGCUUGCCGGCGAGUCCGCCAAGCUGGCCAGAUACAACAAGAAGCCCACCAUCACCUCCCGGGAGAUCCAGACCUCCGUCCGCCUUGUCCUCCCCGGCGAGCUCGCCAAGCAUGCCGUCUCUGAGGGCACCAAGGCCGUCACCAAGUUCACCUCCUCCUAG